ensembl:snoRNA U3 Small nucleolar RNA U3
AAGACUAUACUUUCAGGGAUCAUUUCUAUAGUUAUUGACUUGGAAACGUGAAAUGAAAGUAGUGUCUCACUACUCACGAUGAUGAUUUGUAAUGCUUUUCUUUGAGCAUGAGUCAGACAAUAGUAGUAAUAAUUAUAUACUUUAUGUCAAAAAUGAUUGAUGACAUAUCUGUAUGAGGAAAAAGCGCAUUAUUUAUGAC